CAUGGUAGUAAAAGUUUUGUAGUGACUAGACUCAACUUCGGCCAAGGAGUUGGAAAGGGGGCUACCUACAGGCAGUCGGCUCUAAUACCAACUUGUAACGCCCCCGAUUCAAUCGUACACUAAUCAUACACACAAAUGUGUACGAUCAAGAUCAGGGACUCACGGGAAGAUAUCACAACACAACUCUAGACACAAAUUAAAAUAAUACAAGCUUUAUAUUACAAGCCAGGGGCCUCGAGGGCUCGAAUACAUAAGCUUGAAUACAAACGAGUCAGCGGAAGCAACAAUAUCUAAGUACAGACAUGAUUUCAACAAGUUUGCCUUAAGAAGGCUAGCACAAAAGCAACAUCGAUCGAAAAGGCAAGGCCUCCUGCCUGGGAGCCUCCUAACUACUCCUGGUCGUCGGCGGCCUCCACAUAGUAGUAGGCACCCUCGGGUUUGUAGUAGUCGUCGUCGAAGGUGGCAUCUAGAUCCUGGACUCCGUCAUCUGGUUGAGUCAUCCGAGAAGAAUGGAAAAGGGGGAAAAGAGGGAGCAAAGCAACCAUGAGUACUCAUCCAAAGUACUCGCAAGCAAGGAUCUACACUACAUAUGCAUCGGUGUCAAUUGAAAUGGGUUGUAUCUGUGGACUGAACUGCAGAAUGCAAGAAGAGAAGGGGAAAAGUUAGUCCUAUCGAAGACUAGCAUCUUCUGGAAACCACCAUCUUGCAGCAACAUGAGGGAGUAGAGUAGUAUAACAUAAGUCAUAUUUAUGUUGUUGUAUCAACGCUCCGGGAUCCUUUCUGGACUCCCAAAGCAACAUAUCCAAAUCAUGCCUCAGCAUCCAGUUCUAGUUGUAUCGAUCGGGAUACAGCUCCGAGUGUCCGUUACCGUAGGACAGGCUAUCGAUAGAUGUUUUCUUCCCUAUAGGGGCGCACCAACUUACCCACCACACUCGAUUAACUCUGGCCGGACACACUUUCCUGGGUCAUGCCCGGCCUCGGCCAAACGAUACGCCACAACCCGACCUAGGCCUAAUAGAGAGGUCAACACGCCAGACUAACCCUAUGCCCCUAGGGGUCUUGGGCCAUCGCCCCGGGAACUCCUGCACGUUGCGUGGGCGGCCGGUGAGCAGACCUAGCUACCUCCUUAAAAAGGCAGGUGCUUACCAGUCCAACCCGGCGCGCCCCGCUCAGUCGCUGAUGUCUAUUAAGCUUCGGCUGAUGUAUACAAUGCAGAAUGCCCAUACUAUGCCCACGUGAUGGUUAGGGCUAUCAGGCCAGAGGCCCCUCGGAUCAAAUAUCCAAAUCGUAGUGGAUUAGGAACACACGGUAACAAGCAGAGACUCACGAAAGAUGUGACCCCGUCGCCCCGUCUCGAGGACUUGUGGCAAGGGCUAAGAAUGCCCGGCCACGCCUCAUAAUUAUCUCGCGGGCACCUUCCAGGUUAACCCGACUCCACACCACUCGCAAUUAAGCUCGCGCGGAUACCCCUCAAGGCCAACCCGUCUUUAGUAACAUGGUUCACUGUAAAGUCAUAGUAACCAUAGUAACUGUGUGUCUAACACCAAGGGGAACCCUGAGGAACCACCCUCGGUGGAUUCCACUCGAUGUAAUCAUCAAGGUGAACGUAAGAGGAACCACCCUCGAGGUUCACACUUGAGAGGUUACACGACAGAGUCGUACCGAAAGUGGUUAAGUAGGAAAUCACCCUCGAUGACCACGACCGAAUAGCUACACUACGGAGAUCUCAUCAGGAGUGAUGUAUGAGGUUCCACCCUCGGCACUCGAUGGUAACUCUGCAGAGUCGAGCAACAAAAGGGGCGUGAUGUAAUGUGAGGUGUCGGGCUCUGGUCAUCGAUCACAUUGAUCAAGUUGUCGAUGAUGAAGCAGGGGCAACAAGGACCAGGUGGGGGUCACUGAUGGAUCACUAACCAACCUAUACUAAGCAGUUUAGGAUAAGCAGGUAGGUAACAAUAAGCAGGUUACAAAAGAAGGCUAUGCAUCAGAAUAGGAGCAAAUAAUAACAGUAGCAAAAUCUAAUGCAAGCAUGAGAGAAUGGAAUAGGCGAUAUCGGGAUGAUCAACAAGGUAGACGAUCAUUGGGUCAUCACGGUCUUGGGGUCUAUCGAGAGAUAGGAGGGGGGAGAAACAAUAAAUUAAGGCAGACAAGUGCAAUCACAGAAGCGUAGCAUGACAUCAUGUUAUUCAAGAGGUGCCCUAAUGCAGUACUACGCAGGUUAGUGGAAGCGGGAAAUUAUCCGGUAUUAUUCUCCCAACUCAGGGUGAUUAUCGGACAGAUGAAAUGGAGGGGAAAGUUCCAUGUUCAUCAUGCUAGAGCCAUGUGACAGGUAUGAGGAGGGCGUAUUCAGAUUCGUCUCAUCGUUCUGAGCAACUUUCAUAUAUAAAGUUUUUUGAUAUGGCCUACGGUUAAUUUUUCUACGAUUUUUCAAAGUUUUAAAAAGUUAUUUGGAAUUCCUGAAAAUUGGCCAAGUCUGAGAAUCGCUUAGUUUUAACACCACUUAGUUGUUUUCUGAAGGCUAUAACACAUGUUAGAGUACACUUGCUUGAUCGAAACUGCAUUUGAAAAGUGCCACUUGAAGUUAACUCCAGAAACUGUUAAAAUAUACGAACAUAGGAUUUUGUGAUUUUCAUAGGAUUUAAUCCUUACAUCUAUUCAAUUUGGUUCAAUGGGAUGUUUUGAACCUUGUUAAGUGUACUACACGCCUAUAUAAUUUUUAUCUAUGCUCGAGCUUGUUUUGCUGUUAUUUAAGUGCUUUCUAGAGGACUAGUUAGUGGAAAAGCAGUAAAGCUAGCUACUGCUACAGUAACUGAAUGUUACUGUAGCAGUAGACAGCGCCGGUAGCAGCUUCAACGGAGAGCAACAACGAGGCAGAGGAGCAGUAGCAGUGCAGUGGCGCGGCGAGGCUAGAGGUGGGCGUGGCCGGGCUCAACGCCCAUACACUCCCGCACGCACGCACAUGGGCGCACCGGCGGUCACGGCGCUGGCCAGGGGGCGCAGCACACGAGCGGCAGAGGCGACGCGUAGGUGAAGGGGCAACGGUGGCCAGCGCAGGGCUGCGCCUGUGCGCAUCCAGCGUGGGACGACGAGGUCAUGGCCGGAGCAUGGCUGGCGGCAGCGGGUUCGGCGAGCGCGGACCGCAAGGAGCAGGAGGAGGGGCGCAGUCCAGGGGCGCGGCAGGGUGCGCGGACGCAGUGGUAUGGCGGAGGCGGGCGCGACGCAGAAGCAGCAACACGCCCACGAGAGGGAGGCAAGGCGCGGGCGGGACGUGGGGCGCGUGUGCUCGUGCGCAGCCACGGGCGCGGACGCGACGAGCGCGGGGCCUAGGCACAACCACGGCGAACGGCGACUAGCUGCACGGCGGAGCUGAGCUCCGGUGAGGUUGCUAGCGACGGCUACGGGGAUGAAACCGCGCGUGAGAAAGAGGGGAAAAGGCAGGGGCUUACAUCGCGCCUGCAGGUGUGCAAAGAUGUGCUCGGGGAAGGCUCGAGGCGGCGGUUCCCGGCGACGGCGACAACGGAGCAGAGGAGGAAGAAGAGGUUGCCGGGCUCGCUGUGGUGGCUCCCGGCUUGCACUGGUCGGAGCUUAAGACAUAGUCGACGACAGCGGUUCGAUCCGACACGGCUGGGAGGCCUCGCGGUUUCGGUGGCCGCGGGAUCGACGGAGGACGGCGGCGAGGGCGCUCAGGCCGCGGAUCUGGAGGAGAGGAGGGGCGGAGCGAGCGAUGGAGAGGGAGGGGAGUGGAUAGGGAUGGAGGGGAGGCCGAGGGAAGGUCCUUAUCCUCUUGGCGGCGCUGUAGCGCCGCGGGGCGGCUAGCGGGUGCGGUGG
rnacentral:lncRNA from 1 species